UUGCUUCGAUUGGGCGCGGAUUUGGGAUUUCCUUCUGGCUCUCUUACCACCAGUGCCGAAUUUGCUGCAGGUGAGCAUGUUAGGGUGCGGCGGCUUUGUGGUGGGGUUCCGGUUCAGCCACGCGGUGGCGGACUGGCUGGGCGCCGCCGAGUUCAUGGGCACGGUGGGGGAGCUGGCGUGUGGGGCGGACAGGAUCUGGCCGCCCCCAACCUUGGGCCGCAACGCCAUUCCGGACCUGGCCGGUGAGCACAGCGGAUUUUAACAAAGGGAAGGAAGCAACCGGCGAUUCGCUCCGAGCCGAUCUGAUUCGCCAUGAAGCCUUCAAGAAGGAAUUCACCUUCGGGGUCCUGGUGCAGUUGAGAGGCUCCAGGAAUCCGCCACCAUGAUCGCCAACUACCCCGCCAGGGGGCCUGUCAUUGUUGCAAGGUUUUCCAUGAGUAAUUUACCAGAAUUGGAGAAGAGGAAAUUGACAUGUCGUAAUACAACUUGGUGGGGAAGCAGCAGGCUUUCGGGCUGCCUGCGGAGCUGGUGGCGGUGCUGCUGUUGGACCCGUUCGUGCAGUUUGACGUGGCGUGCAAGAUUACCUUCAUGCGCUGUCGUCCUGCCUCGGCUGCGCUGUCCGUUGUUCCUCGUGUUCGUUGAGUGGGCGCUUCGCUAGCGAUGAAUAUCUGAGAGGGUGGAUGAUGAGCAGUGAAGCUCAUAUUGUGGCCGGCUUCUGUGCGCCCUUCGUCUCUGGCCAGAAGAGUCUGAUGCAUGGGACCUGAAGACUGCAUUGACUUUGGCUUGCAAAGUUUGUACCAUGGUGAUUUGCUUUUGGUUUCAGUUAGUAUUCAAAGCUAUCAGCUAGGUUGUUUGGUGGCUAUAUUUGCAUACUUGCUGUUGCAUGUAUGGUGCUUGGAUGUUCUGUAAUAUAGAUGUGCAAAUGCCGGACAGACACCUAGGAUAGUUUGGUGCUCGGAUGUAACUAUGGUGAUUGGAUGUAAUGUGAUGUUGAUUGAGAUGCUGGAUAGACACCUUAUGGAUAGGAUAUCAUGCUCUUGUUUUGUAAUAUUUUUUUUAUUUAAAUGCCGAACAGACACUUGAUGGCAAGGAUAACUUUGUGCUUAGAUGUGUUGUAAUAUUUAUAAUUCAAAUGCUAGAUAGACACCUAUGUUAAUAUGCUGAUGAUGUGCUUGCUACCGGAUGUGGUGUCUUCGUAUUGAA